AGGGAAGUAGGACUUCAACAUGGCGGCCGAGGUACUGGCGGUGGCUACGGCCUGGCCCGGGGCGGACAGAGUUGGAAGUGGUGUCUUUCGCUUUCCCUAGGGGCGUCGGGAACUUAGCGGGGACUGAGCCUGGGAGGUCGGCUGGUGCCAGAACCUUUCGGUUUUUGGGACGGCGGCGGCAGCAGCGUUCAGGUGAGGGGGCCUCUCUGGGGGAGGAGGAAAGAGGGGCGGAGUUGGGGGGAGGGGGCCGGUACUGAGCGACCUACCAUGGAGGAAACCUGGGGAAAGACUGGAGGCCCUGCGGGUUAAUUGGAAUUAAUGGGUGGGAGGGAGAAGGGGUUAGACCAAGAUCCGAGACUUGGGAGGAUUCUGGGAGAAGGGUCGGAGUGACGGGAAGAGAGUUAAAGGGGAGGAGGGCAGAAGAGAUGUGGGAAAAUGAGUUCGGAUUACAAGCACUAAUACUCUACUAGAAAGAUGGGCGUAUUGGACACCUAUCGGGUUGAAGGGAGAACUCGGUGGGAACUAGAAAAUGUUGAGGAGAGGGACCCAGGUUUUAGUAAAGAAGCUGAGCGCUGGGGAGUUGCGAGUGAGCUGGAAAUGUGUAGAUUUAGAUAUCUGUGAGGCAGUGAGAUUAGGGAGAAAUGGAGACCAGACCAGGGUUGAGUGUUUUUUGGGUAUAUCUUUGGCAUCAUCUGGUCUUCUCCAGGUAUUACUUUUUUUGUUUGUUUCGCUGGUGGAGAUUUAUCUGAACAGCCCCAAAUCUUUCUUGUGACACCAAGUUACAGUUCACUUAUUUGAUUUAUAUCUGUGAUCUCUGACCUUUGUGUUCUUGCCACAUGUAAUUGUUUACAGACUAACGUGUUAAAAGUUAUGGCUGGGCGUAAAAAUAGACUUUCUGUUAAACUAGAUUAACAUUUUGAGAGUCUUUAGACAUCAAGGAGUGCAGCAAAACCAGAUUUGGUAAUUUACUUACUAAACAUCUUCUGUGCUAACCUUACAUUGUAAUGCUUUAUCUCUUUCCUCAGUUCUCAUUAUUAGUAUCUGAGAAUUUGAAUAGAUGUGAUGGAUAUUUCUCUGCUGAAUUUUAUUAGAUUUGAUGGUGGGGGGGAAAAAGACACUUAGUUCUCAGGGACAGAUAGCUUUUUCUAGUUAACGUCCCAACCUAGUUAAACUGAAAAUUUUUAUUUUAUCCUAUAGGAAAGAAUGUGAAAUGUCCAAAGUCUAAAACAAUUACAGUGUUUGCAUCAAAGUAGAAUUUUAUAUUAAAACAAGAAUUUUAUAAAUUAAAUUUUGCUUCGGUCUAUUUUAUUCAGUUUCUUAUUUAUUGAAUGCCUACUUGUGCUUCAUUAAUGAGUCAUUGUAAUUAUGGAAGUGGGAAGUUAGAAAAUUAAUGUUUCUCUAGUGAGCAUCUCUUACAGCACAGCAGAUGUGCUGAUAACUUAUUAACCACGCUGUGGCUUCUUUGGAGUGGGGGGAGUGUUAGAAAUGAAAGCAAAGGAGAAAAAUUAAGUAUAUGUAUAUAAAAAUGUCUUGAAUGUCUUUUGCUUAGUAUUUAAGAUUCAUUACUACAUUAUAACAUGUUUUAUGUUUGUAACACAUUAUCAUUAUUUUUGCAGCACCAGGGAUUGAACCCAGGAGCAUUCUAACUUUUAUCUACAUCUGCCACUCUUUUUUUUUUUUUAAUUUUGAAAUAGGGUCUUGCUUAAUUGACCAUACUUUCCUCUUAAUUUGUGACCUUCUGCCUCUUGGGUUACUGGGAUUACUGGCAUGUACCACCAUGCCUGGUCUGAUAUUUCUUUUUACUUUGAAAAAGGUAGUAACAGUACUCUGAUAAGAUAAUAUUAGGUCUGUAAACAAGUCUCAUCAAUGGUUGUUAAGUGCACUUUUUUGACUGGCAACUUCACUUUAUCUUGUGUGUCUUGUCUUUUGUCCUCUUUACUAAGGUAUUUAAAAGGAGAAUCCUAUAAGUUUAAUUUAGUGACUAAAAUUCUUUUCAAGUAAUUUGAAUUAGCGUAACUCCCGGAGUGUACAUACCAGUAUUCUAGUUUUUCUUGUUGUAGUGUUGAAUGCAUUAUGAUUGUUCAAAUGUAGAUAUUUCAACAUAAACUAAUAUUUUCCCCCAUAAACUAAUCAGAAAAAAGGAUACCAUUCAUUGGUCAUUAGUCAGGUGGUUUUCUUUAAAUAGUCUUUCUCAAGAAAUGUAUUUCUCAUUAGAGACCAUUAUAUUAAGUGAAAUAAGUCAAACUCAGAAGAUCAAGGGUCAUAUGUUUUCUUUCUUGUGGAAGCUAGAGAGGACAAAGGAAAAGAAAGGUGUGUGUGUAGGUGUCUCAUGAAAUUCAAAGGGAGAUCAGUAGAGGAAAGGGUUAGGGGAUGGGAGAUGAGGAGGGAAAGGAGAAAGACUAGGGAGUAAUAUGGGCCAAAUUAUAUUGUGCAUGUAUGAAUAUAUAGUAGUAAAUCCCAUCAUGAUAUAUAACUAUAAUGCACCAAUAAAAAAAGAAAUGCAUUUCUCUAAGAAAUGAUUGUUUACAACAUUAAGUUUUUCUUAGAAUCCUAGAGUGAAAAGAAACUUAGAAAUCACUUUGGUUUUGUUUCCCACACAGCAUGGAAAUUAAAGAUCCAUCUUUUUUUUUCAGAUAUUUUGUAGAAAACGAUGGUGGGACGCAGGUGUACUUUACCAGUGAAAUACAUUGCCAGACCUUUAAAAGAAAUUUUUUUUGAGAGAGUGGCUUUGAACUUGUGAUCCUCCUGCCUCAGCGUUUGGGAUUAUUGGCCAGUACCUCAACUCUAGGCUCCUUUUUUUUUUUUUUUUUUAAAUGAGUAGCAGAAUAAGAGAUUUAUUAUAAAGGGACAGUACACUAAUGGGGAGCAGGCAGUCACACCAGACAGUGAAUCACUGAGAAUUUCUUAUGGGAAAAGUACUUUCAGUUAGAAAAAGAACAAAAUGUUUUGCUUUUCCAACAGUAAUGUGUAGUGUACAGGUUCCUGUAAUAAUGGAAAUAACUUGAAUAUAAUAAUAAUAUUUUUGAUCUGGACAUAGUGGUGUAUGCCUGUAAUUCCGGUGCCAUGGGGAGCUGAGGUAGAAGAAUCCCAAAUUUGAGGCCAGCCUAGGCAAUUUAGUGAGACUGCCCCUCAAAAUAAAAAGGGCUAAGGAUGUAGAUGAGUGGUAGAGUGUCCCUUAGUGAAUCCCCAGUACAACCCAAGGCAGGGGAAAGUAUUUUUUUGUGGGGAGUAAGGCCUGUGGGAUGUAGCUCAAUGGAAGAGUGCUUGCUUAGCAUGCUUGAGACCUUGGGUUUGAUUUCCAGGUGAGGGACAAGAGGGAAGGUGCUAAUCCUGGGUAUAUAUUAAUUAGCCAGUAACACUACAUAAUCUCACAGUUUGAGGGAGAAGUAGGUUGAUUAUAAUAUAUAUAUUUUAUGUUUUGAGGAAUCUGAGGAUCAGAGAAUUGGAGUAACUAAGUUUUUUUUUUUUUUUUUUUUUUUUAAGAGAGAGAGAGAGAAUUUUAAUAUUUAUUUUUUUAGUUUUCGGCAGAUACAACAUCUUUGUUUGUGUGUGGUGCUGAGGAUUGAACCCGGGCCGCAUGCAUGCAGGGCGAGCGCGCUACCUCUUAAACCACAUCCCCAGCCCGAGUAACUAAGUUUAUAGCUGUAAAAUGAUAGAAUUUGAAUUUAGAUCUGUCUGAUUUGAGUGCUCAUGCUGCACAUGAGCUAUGGAAUGGUCACAGGGCCAUAAAGUAUAAGUAGUGGUUACAAAGUAAUGCCUUUUAAAACUACUUGUUUUCAGUGAACUACUGUAACUGGAAUGAAAAUGGCUCAUUGAAAUUUUAGACUUCAUAAUGUCAUUAAUAUUCUCGGAGGAAAUAAAUACCUGAAUAUUUUAUUCUUCACAAA
rnacentral:lncRNA from 1 species